UGCAGUCGAACGCGAAGCGGCCUUCGGGCCGCGAGUAGAGUGGCAAACGGGUGAGUAACGCGUGGGUGACCUACCUUCGAGUGGGGGAUAACCUUCCGAAAGGAAGGCUAAUACCGCAUGACGUCCCGCCCUUGGACGGGCGGUGACCAAAGCCGGGGAUCUUCGGACCCGGUGCUUGUUGACGGACCCGCGUCCGAUUAGCUUGUUGGUAGGGUAGCGGCCUACCAAGGCUGCGAUCGGUAGCCGGCCUGAGAGGGCGGACGGCCACACUGGGACUGAGAUACGGCCCAGACUUCUACGGGAGGCAGCAGUAGGGAAUUGUUCGCAAUGGGCGAAAGCCUGACGACGCAUCGCCGCGUGGAGGACGAAAACCUUCGGGUCGUAAACUCCUGUCGAGCGGGAAGAACCGUCCGCGGGUCAAUACCCCGCGGGCCUGACGGUACCGCUAAAGGAAGCCCCGGCUAACUCCGUGCCAGCAGCCGCGGUAAUACGGGGGGGGCAAGCGUUGUUCGGAUUUACUGGGCGUAAUGGGCUCGUAGGCUGCCGUUCAAGUCGGUUGUGAAAUCCCCAUGCUCAACUUGGGAACUGCAGCCGA
rnacentral:rRNA from 1 species